UAGAAUUCCAAGAUAGGCCCCGCCUACUCCUCGUGCUCUCCCCACACUUCCCUACCGAUACAGGCUGAAGUCCCACCCCCUCAACACGAUGGAGCCGUCCGAACUUGCGAUGUUCUGCCCUGAUAACUGAGGGGCCGGCCGGUCCUUCACAGCAGUAGCUCCACCUCCCCAUUGCUCUGUGUAAAGCGAGGGUGAACUGCUGCCAAAUCCCGGUUCGCCCGCAAAGGGAUGGGGAGGCUGGCUGGAACCCAAGUCGCUGGAGGAGGGAGAGGGGUACGAACGGCGCCGAGGGCCAAUCCGCCCCGCGAUGGGGAAGACUGCAGGACUUCAAGACCACACCGCUCGCUCGGCACAGGCAAACGGACCUUGUGUUUCUCUGAGCCUCGGUUUCUAGUCCGGGAGGGGCGGAAUAAAACAAUUUGAGGAUCACUUCCAGACUUGACUGUGUGUUGAGCACUUGUUGAGUCCCAUCACCACCCGGGUUAAGAUGUCUUUUCCUGGCCAGU